rnacentral:rRNA from 1 species
AUUGAACGCUGGCGGCAUGCCUAACACAUGCAAGUCGAACGGUAACAGGCCUUCGGGCGCUGACGAGUGGCGGACGGGUGAGUAAUACGUAGGAAUCUGCCUUUUAGUGGGGGAUAACUCGGAGAAAUCCGGGCUAAUACCGCAUACGCACUACGGUGGAAAGCAGGGGAUCGCAAGACCUUGCGCUAAUAGAUGAGCCUACGUCGGAUUAGCUUGUUGGUAGGGUAAUGGCCACCAAGGCGACGAUCCGUAGCUGGUCUGAGAGGACGACCAGCCACACUGGGACUGAGACACGGCCCAGACUCCUACGGGAGGCAGCAGUGGGGAAUAUUGGACAAUGGGGCAACCCUGAUCCAGCAAUGCCGCGUGUGUGAAGAAGGCCUCGGUUGUAAG